rnacentral:RNase_P_RNA from 1 species
UGGGUCGGCCGGAGUGGUCGCUCGUCGGUAAUGCGGACGAGAGGAAAGUCCGGACAUCUCAGAGCAGCAUGCCACGCGCAAGCGGCGGGGGCCUAUGGCGCGAGCCUGGGCAACGGAAAGUGCCACAGAAAAGAUACCGCCCAUCUGACCUCGAAAGAGGAAGGAAGGGUAAGGGUGAAAUGGUGAGGUAAGAGCUCACCGCUCCGACUGCAAGGAAGGAGGCAGGGCAAACCCCAUGCGAUGCAAGACAUAACAGGAGGAACGGCCCGCUCUGGUCGCAAGUCCCGCUUCGGCGGGAUGGAUAUCUCCGGGUACUAGUCGCACCCCGUUUCGGCGGGGGCGGUGGUCGCGAGAUCGCCGCAGAUAAAUGACCACAGCGCAGGUGUCGCAAGACAUCGGCGACACAAAAUCCGGCUUAUGAAGGCCGACCCAACUU